CUUCUCCAUCCUGCUGACCUGCCUCCUCUCACACCUCCAAGACUCCUCCCUCAAACCCUCUGGUUUGGGAGUAGAGAAUGCUUACGCUUGAAAAUCUUCUGUUUGGAGACUCAGGUAUGUUUAGAAACUAAGCCACAGCUCAGCUUUGCCAAACAGUUCACAGUGUGUAUGUUAUGGUGGGGGCCUGAGCAAAUGUUGAGGUAGGAAGGGUGUAGAUUGUUUUUCUGCUGGGGGUGGGGGAUCUUUAGCUCCUCUGCAGAGUUUCUGUCCCAGACUCCUGCUUGCCUUGAGACAGGGCUGUUCCAAACCUUUGCAGUCAAAAUCUACUUGAACAAUCAUCUGAAACUUCUUAGACUCUUGCUGCCUGCACUGGGGAUCCAGAGGUGAAAUGUCCAGAUAUUAAAGUGCUCUCUGGCCCUGGAUCAUCUCUAAUUUAUGGAGUGAGGAAAUGGCAUGUCCCAAACAAACUGACCAAUGACAAGGCAAGGAGAUAACUAAGUAAUGGAGGCCACUACACGUGCCCAGGGAGGAACUCACAUCCUCAGGUCAGUGAGUUCUGACCACAGACCUUGGCUUCUUUAACCCUGCCAGCAGCCCCUUGAAGACAGUUUCAUUUGUCCCAGCUUUUGGAGAAAAUGAGGCUCAGAGGAAAUGAGAUCUCUACCCCAGAUGUCCAGCUCGCCGCUGUCCAAGAAACGUCGCGUGUCCGGGCCUGAUCCAAAGCCGGGUUCUAACUGCUCCCCUGCCCAGUCCGUGUUGUCCGAAGUGCCCUCGGUGCCAACCAACGGAAUGGCCAAGAACGGCAGUGAAGCAGACAUAGACGAGGGCCUUUACUCCCGGCAGCUGUAAGUG
rnacentral:lncRNA from 1 species